UUCCUAGUCCCCUCCCUCUGGUCCCACGGGCUCCUCAUCGUCGACUACAUCCACUUCCGGUACAAUGGCUACCUCCUCGGCUUUCUCCUCCUUUUCCCUCUCUCUCUGCUGGAGGAAGGAAAGGAUCUCGCCGGGGGGCUCAUCUUGCCCGUCCCUUUCUGCUUCUUUCACCACUUCUUUGUGCACCUUCUCAGGCAUCACUGCAGACGCGGGCCGUGGGAGGCGUCAAGGAGAUUUCUGACCAUGGGCAUCGCAGUGAGUACCGUAUCGCCGCGGCGUUCGGUCCAUUCUUGUUCUAUGAGCAGAUGCAACAGGUACAUAGUUGUUUAUUUCCAUUUGGCAGGGGUUAUGCAUGCCGACUGGGCUUCACAUUUUGGGUACCUUGCAUAGUUCUUGACAAAGCCCUUGCUUUUGUGCUUGCAAAGCUGGAACUUGAUGUUCCUGCUCCUAAAGCGUCUUCCUGUUGGGCUGGUUGGCAAUUGCUCCCGUUUUGCUCUGCUUCUACCAGGACUACUAUAUGUUGUUGCUUCCAAAAGUGAUUAUUCAGCUAGGAUCUGUCAUCUUCAAGCUUCUGAAUUGAUGUGUCACCCUGUUGAUAGCCUUCUUCCAGAAGCCCCAGCCAAAGCACAUAAUUAGAUGGGUGACAUAUGCCUUUACCCACACAUCACUUCAUUUUAAAACCCCACUUCCUAUAAUUUAAAUAAAUAGCUUGAAUGAUGCGAGACAUUGUCUCGUGCUGUUAAUAGACAGCAAACUGCCACUUAUAUGGUCCUUGGAUUUGUGGCCUCUUCAAUUCAGAUUACAAAACUCUGUAUUAUUGAUGUGCGUGUAGUAACUCAAAUCACACCAUUAUUGGAAGCUUAUUUUCAUUGAUUUGCUA